CUAUAAGAGUUAGUCAAUGUCAUUACCCUCUAGUUAGGAUAUGGGAAUACUAAUGUUGA
rfam:Lactobacillus mucosae LM1, complete genome.